AGUUGUGUUUGAGUUGUUUUUCCAUGUAUAUGUAUGUGCCACGCAUGUGUGUGUGUAUAGGCAUGCAGUGCUUUCUUCUGAACAGAAGGAGAGCUCUGAGCAGUGAUUUGUGCGCCCCGCCCUGGCCUUGCAUCGUCCACAACUCCCGCGUUCCCACAGCUAUAAACUCUGGUCUCUUUAAAUCUUUCUUUUAUCACCAGGGGACCCAUUUAGUUCCUCCAAGUCAAGGACAUUCAUCGUAGAAGAGACGGUGCGAGCCAUGACCCACGUCAUCAACCAGGGCAUGGCGAUGUACUGGGGCACGUCACGCUGGAGCUCCAUGGAGAUCAUGGAGGCCUACUCUGUGGCCCGGCAGUUCAACCUGAUCCCGCCCAUCUGCGAGCAGGCCGAGUACCACAUGUUCCAGCGCGAGAAGGUGGAGGUGCAGCUGCCUGAGCUGUUCCACAAGAUCGGGGUGGGCGCCAUGACCCUGGUCCCCGCUGGCCUGCGGCAUCGUGUCCGGGAAGUACGACAGUGGCAUCCCACCCUACUCCAGGGCCUCCCUGAAGGGCUACCAGUGGCUGAAGGACAAGAUCCUGAGUGAGGAGGGUCGAGCGCCAGCAGGCUAAAGCUGAAGGAGCUGCAGGCUAUCCGCUGAGCGCCUGGGCUGCUCCCUCCCGCAGCUGGCAAUAGCCUGGUGCCUGAGGAAUGAGGGUGUCAGCUCCGUGCUCCCUGGGUGCUUCCAACGCAGAGCAGCUCAUGGAAAACAUCGGAGCAAUACAGGUCCUUCCCAAACUGUCAUCUUCCAUUGUCCAUGAGAUCGACAGCAUUCUGGGCAACAAACCCUACAGCAAAAGGACUACAGAUCCUAAGUUGUCCCGCUGCCCACCAGGACAGUUUCCGGCCCCUCCUCAUCUGUUCGCUGCUUAUGCUGUUUCCACACCAAGUGCAGAGUGGGUUUGCAUCUGAGAGAACCCGCCGUGCCCAAACACCACCGGACACGACCUGCCGGUUGCCUUCAGACACCACCCGCUGCUUUGCCGGACGCUGUCAGGUCUCCGGGGACAGCCGUAGCCUGCGCAGCUCCUCCUCGGGGAAGAAACCCAGUUUGUACCCAGCCUUUCAUGGAGACUCCCAAAGCCAAGGUCAGGCCAAGACCUGGCUGGGUCCUCAGGUCAGGCAGGGUGGGCCUCUCCUCUGCCGAGAACCCCAGACCUGGGGAAGUGGUCUGGCACUUCCUGGGGGCCCCUCUGCCAGGGCCCCAGUGGGCAGGGUGGGGCCUCCCCUUGGAGUUUCUCCAGUCCCCCUCUUCCCAUGGGCUCCAGGCACAUUGCUGGGCCCUGACCCCAGGCACCUCCACCACUCUCUCCCACCCCGAUCCAGCCCUGUGCCCACUGGGCCUUGGCAGGGUCAUGGCUACCAGCUGGCCCUUGGGCCCACCUUAACCCUUGCUGGCAGGGGCAGGGACCCCAGGGGAUUGGGUGUGUGGUUGGGGACCCACAGAAAUUUGGGGAUCUGAUUUCUGGCUAAUCAUCCCGUUGUGUUCAACCCUGUACACAAUCAAAGAGCCCCUGCCAGGAGGCCAGGGCACUUGGGAAGGAGCCCUGGGGAGCAGGCCCCUCUGUCCUGACCCAGAAGGCCGAUGCCAAGCACUAUGACCUGGACCAUGGCUGCAGGCCACAUGGCGGGCAGGGGAGCAGGCCGGGCCCCGCGCACUUGACUGUGUUCCUCUAGGUUAGCAGGGUCCCUCCUCUAACACUCCCUGCCCGCGCCAGGGUGAUGGCUUGGGUUCUGAAGAGGCCAUGCUCAGCCCCUUUCAGGGAAGGUCUCUGGGGUUUCCAUGCUGCAGGUGCAGGGGCUGGGGGCUGCACCAAAGCAGCAACACACGCCAUGUAGGAAAAAGAACUCAGGGACCCGCGCCCAGGAGAGAUGGCCGGGCUGUUCAUUCCCUUCCACACCCGCUCACCUAGGAUGGUCAGAAGGGAGGGAGGGACACUCAGGCAGAGCGUCAGACCCUUAGCAGCAAGGGGCUGAAGAGAGGGUGACAGCCCAGUGGCCCACAGGUGUGAGGCCAUGUGCUGCCUGGCCACGGUCCUGUGUGGGACCCAGCCUUCUCUAUGUAGGACCAGGGCUGUGCAGAAGCCAUGCCCCUACCCUAGCUAUACCAGCUGGCCCCAGGGAGGACCCCGCUCCUCCACCCCAGUGGGUGUCAUCCACCCACACCCUCCGUGCAGGUGCAGGAACAUCUGUCCUGCCACGCCCUUUGGUGGAGCUGACAUUCCAGCAGGCUUCCCCCUGCCCCUGUCCAGGCUGGGUGGAGACCUGGGACCGUGGCUGGAAGAAACCCACUGAGACACAGGCAGAGGAGGUGGUCGUGGAAGAGGGAGCCAGGGCACCUGGCUUCCUCCGUCUCCCAGGGCGGCCGGCCGGCCCUGGAGUCCAGAACCCCCACACUGCCCCUGGACCAGACCCUGGGGCUCUUCUCCACCAAGCUCUGCCAUGAGCUUCAACCAGAAGCCACCCUGUCAGUGUCCAGAGGGGGCAGUGUCCCUCUAAGCAGAGGCCACCAGGCUGUAGCCGCCCCCUCUGUGUGGGGACCUCAGGUGGCUGUCUGGGGACAGGUCACCUGGCCCUGGCUGACGGGUAGUACCCGGCCCUGCCCACUGUGGGGAGGAGGAACGUGAUGUGCCUAGUGCCCUGGGUCGGAGACUGCUGCUCCCCAGGGGCCACUCGAGGGAACGUGGAAUCCCUGCUGGCUGCAUUUCCCCAAGAAAGGGAGCACCCUGGGAGGACCUCGGGAGGCCCACAUGCAUGGUAUCCAGGACCCCGGCAGCCUCUGAAUGGCACCUCCACACCCUGGCUCGGGGGCUGUUCCUUUAUAGCCACCGCAGGGAGAACAAGGCUGGGGUGGGAGCCCGAUGUGGGAGGCGUUGGAGGGGCCUCUGGGGAAGGAUGGUAGACCAAGAGCUAGACAAGGAAGCCUGAAGCUCUUGGCCUGGGCCAGGGGACCGCCUCGGCUCCCUCCCGACUCCUGCUGCCCCUGUCCUCUCCCGGAAGCACGGCCGAGGCCCUCACCCGGAGAGCUGGACAUAGGAAGAGCCCAGUCCGGGGGCUCAGGCUUCACCGCGGAGAGCAGAGCCCGCUCCCACGUGCCCCGAGCCCAUGGUGAAGGCUCAGGUCCUGUUCUCACCCCGCUGCCAUGUUCGUAACUCGCUCUCUCUCUCAUUUUCUAAUGAUCGUGGUUCUUCCACUAUCUGCGUCCCCCCAGGCAGAGACCACCGGACUUCAGCUUCCGGGACAGCCGCGUAUUUAUGGAAUGACAAAUAAAACCCAAGCCGUUGGCCUCU
rnacentral:lncRNA from 1 species